rnacentral:rRNA from 1 species
UCGAACGGUAGCAGGCCCCUCGGGGCGCUGACGAGUGGCGGACGGGUGAGUAAUACGUAGGAAUCUGCCUUGUUGAGAGGGAUAGCCUAGGGAAACUUAGGGUAAUACCGCAUAAGCCCGAGAGGGGAAAGCCGGGGAGCCGCAAGGUCCUGGCGCAAUAAGAUGAGCCUACGUCGGAUUAGCUAGUUGGUGGGGUAAAGGCCUACCAAGGCGACGAUCCGUAGCUGGUCUGAGAGGACGACCAGCCACACUGGGACUGAGACACGGCCCAGACUCCUACGGGAGGCAGCAGUGGGGAAUAUUGGACAAUGGGCGGAAGCCUGAUCCAGCAAUGCCGCGUGUGUGAAGAAGGCCUGAGGGUUGUAAAGCACUUUCAGUGGGGAGAAAGAGGCCAUUGUUAAUACCAAUGGCGGAUGAUGUUACCCACAGAAGAAGCACCGGCUAACUCUGUGCCAGCAGCCGCGGUAAUACAGAGGGUGCGAGCGUUAAUCGGAAUUACUGGGCGUAAAGGGUGCGUAGGUGGUUUUGUAAGUUAGAUGUGAAAUUCCUGGGCUUAACCUAGGGACUGCGUCUGAUACUGCGAGACUAGAGUACUGUAGAGGGAAGUGGAAUUUCCGGUGUAGCAGUGAAAUGCGUANAUAUCGGAAGGAACAUCAGUGGCGAAGGCGACUUCCUGGACAGAUACUGACACUGAGGCACG